rnacentral:lncRNA from 1 species
CAUGUCACUCAAACCAGCUGUAUUAAGGAAGGUGCAAGCUUUUGGGAUUUCUGUUUGGAUUUAGUUUAGGUUCAAAAGAGCACGCACAGAUCCUGAGUGUUGUCAAGCACCCGUGACUGGGAAACGGAGGCGUCCGAUCCGUAUUGGAGUCAAUUCGCCACUUAAUUGAACACAGCCUCGAAGGGAAGGGCCAUAUUUGUGGGCCUGUCUAACAAUUAAGAGUGACCACAUGGAAUGGGGGAUGAAAGGGUUAAAGAAGAACAAAUAUUGAACACAGCUUUUCUAUGAACAAACUGCAGGCAGCUGCUGCUUUGCAAGGGGAACUUCUUGGCUGCCAUUUCUGGAUGUCAAGGCUGCAGAUACACUGGUCAGGACCCUGGGUAGAGAGAGAUGCGUCAGAAUGCGGCUCCUUUCAGAAAGGCUUCUCCGGAGAAAAACCCUUUGAAAAGAUUCAGCACGUUGCCAUGGAGAACAUCCCACUGAAGGAAUGUAUAGAAGUAGCAGGGUUAACUGAGUGCCUUCCAUCUUCCCUCCAAGGGAUCUGCAAUGAGAUGGGAGAAGGCAACAGGCUGUGUGGGAACCACUGAAGCUGGGAUGGCAGGGAAAGAACAUCUUAGGCUAACUCUUCAAGCCUUGCUGUCACAUUUGCUUUUGAGUCUAUGGUGUCAGCUGCCUACCAGUUGCUUUCAUCUCUAGAAAUCUGUGACUUGCAGUAUGACAAGAACAAAAGGUGACAAUACAAAGGACAAAGGGCAAGGAAUACAGACGGAGAAGCCGCUUAGAGUCUAGGAUGGCAGAGGUUCUCUUGAUCAUUUCAUUUUUGAGCGCUUGUAGAGCUUUGGUGUACCAGAGGUGCUUGAACAGCUUACCACACCACAGAUGAAUGGCCUUUGGAUUUCUCCUAAGAAAAUGUGGCUACCUGAAAUUCAACUCCAUUUUCUGGUCUUCAAUAUUUCUUUUGUGUUCAGUUUGCCAGCUGAGGAGAAGUGGCUAAGCAUAGCCUGUUACUGAUGCUAAAGCCCAAGUUCUGAACCUAACAACUCCAGCAACAUGAUCCUGUUUCAAGAGACAAAAAAGUGACUAAUGAAAGAAAACAAUUGAUGUGCUAUGUAGAGUUUAAAAGAAGGUAAAGAGAAUAAAUUAAAAGCAACAA